rnacentral:misc_RNA from 1 species
UGAGAGAGUGUAGUGGACAGUUUCGUUUAUGUUUUUUAUUAGCAUAAGAUAUUGCAGCAACAAACGCAAGCACAUCAAGCAAAAAGUGCAGCUAAAUACACUGGCGCACAGUGACAACAUGACACAAUGCGGCAACACUUCUGGUAGUCCCGCUUCGCAAUCACAUACCAAAUUAGACAUACACAAUUUCUCGGAGGACUACAAUAAUGGGUCGUCUGAAGUCGUUGGCGAGAAUGUUGGCGAGACGGCACAAAACGCUGCAACAAUAAUUUUAACGCCGACAUCAUUAAAUUUAACAAACACACCGCCAAAUGCGCCCGGUGGGGGUGGCGUUGGCGGCAGCAACAUCAACAACAGGGCAAACGCAGACGUUGGCAACAAUGACAGGGGUUAUCCGGCGCACAGCGAACAAUACAAAGGACCUAAAUGGUGGCGUCGCUUAUUAGUUCACUGGUCUCUUGUGUCGGAGCAUAUUGCCCUGCUUAUGAUUUUUCUAGCGCUUUGGACCUUGGCCUUGGCAUUGUUACCACAGUAUGCUACACCUGAAACAGUGAUAAUGCGUAUUAUACUACUCUUUGUUGGUGCUCAAAUAUCUGGCAUAUUAGUUACCUUUAUACAUUUGCCAGACAUGCUGGGCAUGCUCUUCUUCGGUGUCCUUUACACCAAUAUUGGCUUGGCCAAUUUCGAAGGUUAUGAGCGCUUUGAACUGUUUUUAAGAGAACUGGCAUUGACCAAUAUCAUGCUGCUAGCUGGUCUCGGUCUUGAUGGCAGUGCAUUUAGGCGGUUGUGGCUUAUGAUUCUCCGACUGACACUCGUUCCGACAAUAGUGGAGGUUGCCGUUAUAGCUGUGCUGGCCUAUUUUACAUUGUCCAUGCCCUGGAUGUGGGGGAUAGCUCUGGGCCUGGUCAUCACAGCAGUCUCACCCAAUGUUGUCGUCACAGUCAUGCUUAAGUUAAAGGAGGAUCGCCUGGGUCUGAACAGUGGCAUACACACCCUAAUAUACGCUAUGACCACGUGCAAUGACGUCGUAGCUAUCUUCAUGUUUGGCGUCGUAAUCAGCAUUAUAUUCUCCACAAGCUCACUGACACAAAAAGUAUUGCAAGGACCCAUUGGUAUUGGUAUUGGACUUGUUUUCGGCUAUCUUUACGGCAUGAUGCUUCACUAUUUGCCGUCGCGGAAUGCGGUUUAUGCAAAUGGACUGCGCUUUGCUUUGACAAUCUUGGGUGGCUCAAUAGCUGUAAUGGGCAGCCGAAUUAUCGGCUAUACUUCGGCCGGUGCCUUAGGUUGCGUAAUGUUGGCCUUUAUAGCUGGCAUUGGUUGGAAAAGGGAGGAGCUCAAACUGACCCCAUAUCAAAUGCAAGCACAUCAAAUAGCAAGUGUUCCUAAGCGUCUGGAUCUGCUGUGGAAAUUUCUUAAACCCGUCUCAUUUGCACUAAUUGGCAAGGAAAUCAAUUUUGCCGUGCUUGAAGGUCGCGUAAUUGGCUAUGGAGCGCUGCUGGUACUGUUUGGAAGUUUGCUCCGCUUAGCUUUUGCAUAUUUAUCUACAUAUGGCGGAAAUCUGUCAAGAAAGGAGCGUGCUUACAUUACAAUUUCCGGUUUUCCCAAAGCAACCGUCCAAGCUGCCUUGGGUCCGGUUGCUUUAGAUUUGGCUCGUUCAGCCAAAGUCGCAAGUGAUUUAACAUUGGCUAACAACGUGCUCAUAAUUUCGGUUCUGGCCAUUAUUUUCACAGCGCCGUUGGGUGCUAUUUUGAUGCUUCGUCUUGCGCCGCUCUGGCUUAAACAUGGAGAUCCUGAGGACGUAGCUGAAACGCCUGUGACACCCGGUUCAUCAGAACCAGGCCCACUGACCAAUGUGGGUGAACUUAAUUCAGCGCACGGUCAACAAAAUAUUAAGUAGAGUAGCGAGAGCGCCGAAAAUUUAUCAACUAUACCAUUCGUGGAAAUAAUUGGCCUGGGUAUAUGGCUAAUGAUCAAGGGCACUUAACGGCAGCUGCUUACGAUUCACAUGCGAAUGCUCAUCCAGACAGGUGAACAAAGGCUAAGCAAGAAUUUCGUUAAGGAUUUUAUGAAAACGGGCCAAGAGAGAUCGAUGUGUUUAUUCAUGCGCACGGACGGAUAGAAGGACUACGUUAUUGAUCCUGAGUGUAAUAUAUAUUUAUUCUCCCGCAUAUCCUUUUCAUGAUACAAUUCUCCCACAAAUACAGUAUUGUUUGCUUGUAAAUAUGAUAUACAAUAAAAAUGUCUAUACAAUUAAGGAUACAAAAGUGGUUAAAUUAAGGCUUAGAGUACAAAUUAUGUCUUCCAGUAAUUUAUAAUAGCAAGAGUUUUGUUUUAGAUGGAUAGAUUUAAAGUACAAAUCAUAGUAGGAGUAAUGAUAGUAUUAGCGUACAUCGUACAUUUAUCGUACAAUUAAAAAAUCACUUGAUCUUAGACUAUGCAGCAAAAGCAGGAAAUAAACCCAAAUCAGGUAUUAACGAAAAGUUUUUUCAGAAACCUCAAACACAAAUUAAAACUGAAGUUCAUUGUCAUUGUUAUAGCCAAAAUAAAGAAAUACUAAGCUUUUAACUGUCUCUCGCUAAAAACAUUGAAGGCCAAAUAGUUGAUUUUCUCAUUGUGGAAGGCUAAAUAAUAUGGAUUUUAUGUUUUAAUUUCUACGCAUAUAAAGCAAAUCAAUAAAGUGUUUGUGAAUAACAAUGGCCUAAACCAUUACCCAAUCUUUUUGAGCAUUACACACGCGUCCUCACAAAUACAUAAUUCGCUUUUUAAUCUUUGCGUGUCUGGAUGUACUUUUAUUAAUGUACGUACAUAGUAUAAAUUUGUGGGUCGUAAAUAUUUUGCCAUAUGCACAUGUCGAUAUCUUUGAUUAGCUAAUGGAAAUAACUUUUUAGUAUGUGAUUUUUUUCUGUGAGUGUAUAUAUACAUCAAAAUAUUUGUUUCAUAUGCAAACGCGUAUUGGCAUUUAUGUUUGUAUAAUUGUAAAAAAGAAAUUUAGCUACACUC